AGGCCAGUCACUUACUGUCAAGCAGUUUCAGAAACUAUUGGGGUUAUUGGCAGCUGCAUCCAAUGUGAUAUCUCUUGGCCUGCUGUACAUGAGACCCCUACAGUGGUGGCUCAAGACCAAGGGGUUCUCCCCGAGGGGAAACCCGCUUCGCAUACUCAAGGUCACGCAGGGGUCCUACGUGCCUUAGACAUGUGGAGGAAAUCUUGGUUCUUGUCUCAGGGCCCGGUGCUUGGAGCUCCUUGUUGCCGCGUGACGCUAGCGACGGACGCGUCCCUCACCGGCUGGGGUGCGGUCAUGAGUGGCCACCCUGCCCGCGGUCUGUGGAGUGGUCGCCAUCUGACAUGGCAUAUCAACUGUCUAGAGUUGCUAGCAGUAUUUCGAGCAUUGAAUCAUUUUCUCCCAGACCUAAGAGGUCACCAUGUGUUAGUGCGCACCGACAACACAGCGGUGGUCUCUUAUAUCAACCAUCAAGGAGGCCUGCGCUCGCGACCCCUGUACCAGCUGGCACGCCAGAUCCUUGUGUGGUCCCAGGGCAAACUCCUUUCGCUGAGAGCAGUACAUAUUCCUGGGCAUAUGAAUAUGGGAGCAGACAUCCUGUCGAGGCAGGGGCCGAGGCCCGGGGAAUGGAGGCUUCACCCCGAGGUGGUGAAGCAGAUAUGGACUAUAUUUGGUCAGGCUCAGGUGGAUCUGUUUGCGACUCAGAUGACAUCGCACUGUCCCCUUUGGUUCUCUCUAGUUCGUCCAGCUCCUCUGGGACUGGAUGCUAUGGUACAGACGUGGCCGAGGCUUCGUCUGUACGCUUUUCCCCCGAUCGCUCUGCUCCCGGGAGUUCUGGCGAGAGUACGCCAGGACGGGGUCCGUCUUCUAUUAGUAGCCCCGUUCUGGCCGGGCCGAGUAUGGUUCUCAGAUCUGAUCUCGCUCCUCGAUGGCUCUCCAUGGGAGAUUCCCGUCAGGAGGGAUCUCCUCUCACAGGCGGAGGGCACGAUAUUCCACCCCCGCCCGGAGCUGUGGAAGUUAUGGGUGUGGCCCCUGAGGGGGCACAUCUCGUAGCUUCUGGUCUCUCAACCGAGGUUGUUGAGACCAUCCUCCAAUCCAGAGCUCCCUCAACGAGGAAACUGUAUGCCUUGAAGUGGAAACUUUUCACUUCUUGGUGCGGAGAUCGCCAAUUUGACCCAGUCAACUGCCCAGUCGGUACAGUGCUGGAGUUCCUGCAGGCCCGUUUCUCCACAGGGUUGACUCACUCCACCCUGAAGGUCUACGUGGCGGCCAUUGCGGCCUACCAAGCCCCUCUCGGUGACCAAUCAGUGGGCAGACACCCCCUAGUUUUACGUUUCCUCCGUGGCACGCUGAGGCUGAGGCCUCCGAUACGUUCUCGUGUCCCCACGUGGGACCUGGCUGUGGUGCUAGAAGCUCUUUGUAAGCCUCCUUUCGAGCCUAUUGAAGAAAUUGCUGGCCGCUAUCUUACGAUUAAGACUGCCUUUCUUCUAGCUAUUACUUCUCUAAAGAGAGUUGGGGAUCUUCAGGCCCUCUCAGUGGCCCCUUCCUAUUUAGACUUUGCGCCCGGCAUGGCCAAAGUGUUUCUCUACCCUCGAGCGGGGUAUGUCCCGAAGGUUCCCUCAGUUAUCCCGCAGCCUAUUGUACUGCAGGCCUUCAGUCCUCCUCCCUUCGGGGACCCAGACCAGCAGAAGCUAAACUGUAUGUGUCCAGUGCGAGCACUGGACGCAUACGUCCACAGAGCUGCCAUGUGGAGAAAGGCGGACCAACUGUUUGUAUGCUAUGGUCCCCCUAAGAGAGGUCUUCCAGCCACAAAACAGACCCUCAGUCGGUGGAUAGUGGAUGUAAUUACUACCGCCUAUGAGUCCUCUGAUCUCCCCUCACCAUUGGGAGUCAAGGCUCACUCUACCCGCAGUAUGGCGGCCUCCAAGGCCUUUUUGUCAGGUGUGUCCAUGCAGGACAUCUGCAACGCAGCUGGAUGGUCCACGCCCCUCACAUUUGUCAGAUUUUAUGGUUUAGAUCUGCGAUCCACUCCAGGCUCUUCUGUUCUCUUGCCUUAGCUGUGCUCCCUAUAUACACACUAGGCAAGGACUUGCAAGUCUGGCUGCGUGGGCAUUCUCGUUCCCAUAGCGUUUUUCCGACGCAGCUCGAGUUUCUGAAGGGGAACGUCUCAGGUUACAUACGUAACCUGAGACAUUCCCCUUCAGGAACUCAAGCUGCGUCGGAAAAACGCUAUGGGACCGCCCUUCAGCGUGACCAGCUCUGAAUAACAUGUGUAAUCAGUCCCAUGAAUGGGCGUGACGUCGUAGGCGGGUGACGUAGCGACCAGGAAGCUAUAAAAGCACGUGAGGUGGAACGAGCAUCAGCUUCUAGGAAUGAAGCAAACUCUGGCAGGGAUGCCGGAAGUAUGGCCUAGAGACGCAGCGUCUCGUUCCCUUCGGGGAACCAUGGUUACAUACGUAACCUGAGACGUUUACUGGGAAACUCAAAAGAGCUUUGUCAUGCCAAAGAAGAUGCUUACAGAAGUGGG
ensembl:lncRNA